ensembl:lncRNA
GCGGUGGUCAAGGCUGCUCUCAGUAUCCUGGUCAACAAAGCCGUCCUGCAGGGAUGCCCUUUGCCACGGCACGAGAUUAACAGGCACCUGAUGAAGUUCCGAGGUGGGACCUUCCCUCUCUCAACCAUUGGCUCCUGUAAAGGGGGCGGUGGCAGGAAGGGGUAGGACAGUAGCAUGUGGAGAUGAGCCAAUACCAGCCCGCGAAAGAAGGGGAAACCCCGCCUCCAACUGGAGCUGUGGAGAUUCUCUCAGAGAAGGGUCAUUGUCCAGCGCUGAUGUCCUCUUCAUCACCAACGGCAAUACUCCGAGGUCAGUGAUGCUAACCUGAGCCGUUCAUUUGACCCUUUUGGGAAGUAUCCAUUAGGAUUGUUUUCCAGUAGAAUGAGUUUAUAUGAUGCAACCACUAGUAUGUUAUUGAUAUCAUGUAGCAUGCUGUGUUCUAGCCUCUAUGAAAUGUGACCGGUGCCUAGAUUUGGUCAUAAGUAGCAAAAUGUUUUUUUUUUUUUAUAUAUAUUGGAUAAAAGUAGAGACUCAGAGCUAGAAAAUAGUUGAGGAACAAUGGGAAAGUAAUAAACUUGUAACCUCACUGGAGAGCUCUUCUUCGUCUACACCCAUUCAGGAUCAUUCACACCCUCUUAAGCCUUAACCCCACCCAUCUCUUUAAGGAUUCACACAUGUGAGGUUAUAUACUAAACAGAGUCAGUAGUUUAGUAAACAACCAAAGAUUUCAAGACUAAAAGUGGUAAAAGUAGUAGCCUACAAUAAGGGAAAACACCAGGUAAAAAUACACUUUAUCUAGUUCUUGGCCUAUAUCCUAAUCUGACUUUGGUGCAGGUCAUGUUGUUCUUUACAUUACCGUCUCUGGUAAACACACACUAUAUCAAAUAAUAUAUACGUUUAUUUGUCACAUGCACAGGAUACAGAAGGUGUAAAUAGUACAGUGAAGUGGUUACUUGCAUAGUACCAAUAUCAAAAACAGAAAGUGUCCAGAUAAACAAAUUGUAUAAAUAUUUUAUCAUUAUUAGAUGAUGCUUAUCAGACACACUUGUCUAAAUUGAUGGGUCAUGUGAAGGAAAUGCUAUAACCACCCCCAGCCACAUCUAGCUAAGUGGAUGGGUCACUAUUGUCUAGACAUGUACACAUGUUCAUGAAAAAUAAAAGAUGGCUGUAAUCACCCCCAGCCACAUCUAGCUAGGUGGAUGGGUCACUAUUGUCUAGACAUGUACACAUGUUCAUGAAAAAUAAAAGAUGGCUGUAAUCACCCCCAGCCACACCUGGCUAAUUUGAUGGGUCAUGUAAUCAUCUGGUUUAGUGUUGUAGACAUGUAGCUUGCUAGCUAAACAAUGAACUGGCAUAAUCCCAACUCAUACUACUACCAAUACAAACAUUGUCAUAGCUGUAGUAUGACUCUGCAGUUAGCUAAAGCGAACCAACUAGGUUCAAUGUUAGCUAGCUAACAUUAGGCUAUAACUAGCAAUGCAAAUGGAUUUCUGAUUCAAGAACAUUUCUACACAGCUCGAACACGUAACAUUAGUUAGCGAGCCAGAUAGCUAACAUGUGAUUUAACUUGCAAUGAAAAUGAAUUUCUGACAAAAUUAUAAACUUUUAAUAUUUGAAAAUGUAGCUAGACUCUUACCCGUAUGUAUACAUGGAUAAAUGCUUCACCGCAGACUGAAACCAUUUAACUUGUUUGGCCAGCGUUGUGUCAAGUCACUCCGGUUCACAUUGACCGUGGCGUGUGCAGAAAGUAGCCCAUCACUUUUUGCAACUGAUCUGUCGAGAUCGCCUACUAAAUUUAGGGCAUUGAUGUUGUUGCGAAAAGUAGCAAAACUUUUGGAGUUCUCGAUUGGCUAACGUUCUAUUGUUAAAUAAGUACACGGUGGAAAGGACUAUCAACACAUACUGAACAGCUCAUGUUAUAGACUGAAGCAUUUUACAUGACAGACCAUUACAAACUCAUCUCCCGGCAUGUCCAGCCCAUCAAUUAUCUCAGCCAAUCAUGGCUAGUGGGAAGGUUCCUGUCUUUGUCCAUUGCUAAACCAACUAGGCUCAUAAUUUAACAAUGGUAUUCGUAUUUACGGAAGGAAUACAAGUUUGUUAUUAAGGCACAUGAAAGUUCACGUUUCAGAAGGGUUUUCUGCCCAAAACCGCAGUUUGAUAAAAAAUAAAUGUUUGCAUUCAAAUGCCUCUCCUUUGAGGUAGUGACUUGUGACAUACACCUAGUUUUCUGAAACGUGUCACAAAUGUGUGAUAGAAUGGAGUAUUGCUGAGACCAUCCAGCAGGGGUCAGUGUAGUGUAGUGUUCUGAUCUUGUACUGUGUGAUUGUACUGAUGUUGUACUGUAGUGUGAUUGUACUGAUGUUGUACUGUACUGUGAUUGUACUGAUAUUGUACUGUUCUGUACUGUGAUAUUGCUGAUUUUGUACUGUACUGUGAUUGUACUGAUGUUGUACUGCAGUGUAGUGUGAUUGCACUAAUGUUGUACUGUACUGUAGUGUGAUUGUACUGAUGUUGUACUGUACUGUAGUGUGAUUGCACUGAUGUUGUAGUGUAGUGUGAUUGUACUGAUGUUGUACUGUAGUGUGAUUGUACUGAUGUUAUACUGCACUGUACUGUGAUUGUACUGUACUGUAGUGUAAUUGUACUGAUGUUGUACUGUAGUGUGAUUGUAUUGAUGUUGUACUGUACUGUAAUGUGAUUGUACUGUACUGUAGUGUAAUUGUACUGGUGUUGUACUGUAGUGUGAUUGCAUUGAUGUUGUACUGUAGUGUGAUUGUACUGAUGUUGUACUGUACUGUAGUGUGAUUGUACUGUACUGUAGUGUAAUUGUACUGAUGUUGUACUGUAGUGUGAUUGCAUUGAUGUUGUACUGUAGUGUGAUUGCACUGAUGUUGUACUGUAGUGUGAUUGUACUGAUGUUGUACUGUAGUGUGAUUGUACUGAUGUUGUACUGUACUGUAAUGUGAUUGUACUGUACUGUAGUGUAAUUGUACUGAUGUUGUACUGUAGUGUGAUUGCAUUGAUGUUGUACUGUAGUGUGAUUGUACUGAUGUUGUACUGUACUGUAGUGUGAUUGUACUGUACUGUAGUGUGAUUGUACUGAUGUUGUAAUAGUGUGAUUGUGCUGAUGUUGUACUAUACUGUGUGUGAUUGCAGUGUUGUAGAUGGGGACCAUGUGAGUCUGUCUCUGUGUUCUUACAAGACUGAUCUGAUCAGGGAGUUACAGACCAUGUGCUCCAGCAAGUCAGAGCCAGACAUCAGUAAGGUACCAUGCACACACACACACACACACACACACACACACACACACACACACACACACACACACACACACACACACACACACACACACACACACACACACACACACACACACACACACACACACACACACACACACACACACACACACACUUUUUCUCUAUCAUUCUCUCUCUCAUACACAUACCAUGAGGUUGACCUUUUCUUUCGGGUGUAUUUCUAUGUGUUGCAGAUUGCUCAGUCCGAGGAGGACUUCAUCGUCUUCUCUGGCUCUCCAAAUGGACAAUCACCCCGCCGCAGGACCGACCAUAAAGAAAAAGCUCUACCACAGAUGACCGGCAGCAGUCACUCCAACCCCAUCCCUGCCUCCAACCCCAUCCCUGCCUCCAACACCAUCCCUGCCUUAGGCAGCCUCUUGCAAGAGGCGAUCGAUGUCCUACCCAUGUCCCAGCUCCCUGUCUCCAGCAGCAGGGGACAGCAGCCACUAGCCUAGCAGCAGCAGCAGUGCCUCCGCACCACGAACACCCACUACGAACACUAACUGCAACGCGAACAGAACUGAACCAAGCAGCAGCAGCAAAACAAGGCAGGCCCUAACCAGACACAACAACAACAACAACGAAAACAACCAACAACACAAGGAAAUCUCGAUCCUACACCGAGACCUGCAUGAAAACAACAACCAUACCAAGUACUAGAUGAACUCCCUUUUUCCUCUUCCUUCACCUUCCUUCCUUCCUUCCUUCCUUCCUUCCUUCCUUCCUUCCUUCCUUCCUUCCUUCCUUCCUUCCUUCCUUCCUUCCUUCCUUCCUUCCUUCCUUCCUUCCUUCCAUCCUUCCUUCCAUCCUUCCUUCCAUCCUUCCUUCCUUCCUUCCUUCCUUCCUUCCUUCCAUCCUUCCUUCCAUCCUUCCUUCCAUCCUUC